UGGCUCAGGAUGAACGCUAGCGGCAGGCUUAAUACAUGCAAGUCGUGGGGCAGCAUGAGUAGCAAUACUUGAUGGCGACCGGCAAACGGGUGGGGAACACGUACACAACCUUCCUUCAAGCGGGGAAUAGCCCAGAGGAAUUUGGAUUAAUACCCCAUAAUAUAUUUGAUAAGGCAUCUUAUUAAUAUUAAAGCUUCGGCACUUGAUGAUGGGUGUGCGGCUGAUUAGAUAGUUGGCGGGGUAACGGCCCACCAAGUCUACGAUCAGUAGCUGAUGUGAGAGCAUGAUCAGCCACACGGGCACUGAGACACGGGCCCGACUCCUACGGGAGGCAGCAGUAAGGAAUAUUGGACAAUGGACGAAAGUCUGAUCCAGCCAUGCCGCGUGAAGGAUUAAGGUCCUCUGGAUUGUAAACUUCUUUUAUAUGGGACGAAAAAAGGGCAUUCUUGUUCACUUGACGGUACCAUAUGAAUAAGCACCGGCUAACUCCGUG
rnacentral:rRNA from 1 species